rnacentral:rRNA from 1 species
ACGUGGACACCUACCCUUAGGUCGGGGAUAAACCCGGGAAACUGGGUAUAAUACCCGAUAGUCCUCGAAUGCUGGAAUGCAUCGAGGUCUAAAGCUCCGGCGCCUAAGGAUGGGUCUGCGGCCUAUCAGGUAGUAGUGGGUGUAGCGUACCUACUAGCCUACGACGGGUACGGGUUGUGAGAGCAAGAGCCCGGAGAUGGAUUCUGAGACACGAAUCCAGGCCCUACGGGGUGCAGCAGGCGCGAAAACUUUACAAUGCUGGCAACAGCGAUAAGGGGACCUCGAGUGCCAGGUUACAAAUCUGGCUGUCGUGAUGCCUAAAAAGCAUUGCAUAGCAAGGGCCGGGCAAGACCGGUGCCAGCCGCCGCGGUAACACCGGCGGCUCGAGUGGUAACCGUUAUUAUUGGGUCUAAAGGGUCUGUAGCCGGCCGGAUAAGUCUCUUGGGAAAUCUGGCAGCUUAACUGUCAGGCUUUCAGGAGAUACUGUCUGGCUCGAGGCCGGGAGAGGUGAGAGGUACUUCAGGGGUAGGGGUGA